AUUGAACGCUGGUGGCAUGCUUUACACAUGCAAGUCGAACGGCAGCACGGGGGCAACCCUGGUGGCGAGUGGCGAACGGGUGAGUAAUAUAUCGGAACAUGUCCGGAAGUGGGGGGUAACGUAGCGAAAGUUACGCUAAUACCGCAUAUGCCCUGAGGGGGAAAGGGGGGGAUCGCAAGACCUCUCGCUUUCGGAGUGGCCGAUAUCAGAUUAGCUAGUUGGUGGGGUAAAGGCCUACCAAGGCAACGAUCUGUAGCUGGUCUGAGAGGACGACCAGCCACACUGGGACUGAGACACGGCCCAGACUCCUACGGGAGGCAGCAGUGGGGAAUUUUGGACAAUGGGGGCAACCCUGAUCCAGCCAUGCCGCGUGAGUGAAGAAGGCCUUCGGGUUGUAAAGCUCUUUCGGACAGAAAGAAAUCGUGCAGAAUAAUACUCUGUAUGGAUGACGGUACUGUAAGAAGAAGCACCGGCUAACUACGUGCCAGCAGCCGCCGUAA
rnacentral:rRNA from 1 species